rnacentral:rRNA from 1 species
AUGAACGCUGGCGGCGUGCCUAAUACAUGCAAGUCGAGCGAACAGACGAGGAGCUUGCUCCUCUGACGUUAGCGGCGGACGGGUGAGUAACACGUGGAUAACCUACCUAUAAGACUGGGAUAACUUCGGGAAACCGGAGCUAAUACCGGAUAAUAUAUUGAACCGCAUGGUUCAAUAGUGAAAGACGGUUUUGCUGUCACUUAUAGAUGGAUCCGCGCCGCAUUAGCUAGUUGGUAAGGUAACGGCUUACCAAGGCAACGAUGCGUAGCCGACCUGAGAGGGUGAUCGGCCACACUGGAACUGAGACACGGUCCAGACUCCUACGGGAGGCAGCAGUAGGGAAUCUUCCGCAAUGGGCGAAAGCCUGACGGAGCAACGCCGCGUGAGUGAUGAAGGUCUUCGGAUCGUAAAACUCUGUUAUUAGGGAAGAACAAAUGUGUAAGUAACUAUGCACGUCGUGACGGUACCUAAUCAGAAAGCCACGGCUAACUACGUG